rnacentral:tRNA from 1 species
UCCUUAGUAGCUUACUGGUAGAGCGGUCGACUGUUAACCGAUUGGUUGUAGGUUCUUUUUUAACUUGAAGAA